AUUGAACGCUGGCGGCAUGCCUUACACAUGCAAGUCGAACGGUAACAGGUUAAGCUGACGAGUGGCGAACGGGUGAGUAAUACAUCGGAACGUGCCCAGUAGUGGGGGAUAGCCCGGCGAAAGCCGGAUUAAUACCGCAUACGACCUAAGGGUGAAAGGGGGGGAUCGCAAGACCUCUCGCUAUUGGAGCGGCCGAUGUCAGAUUAGCUAGUUGGUGGGGUAAAAGCUCACCAAGGCGACGAUCUGUAGCUGGUCUGAGAGGACGACCAGCCACACUGGGACUGAGACACGGCCCAGACUCCUACGGGAGGCAGCAGUGGGGAAUUUUGGACAAUGGGCGCAAGCCUGAUCCAGCCAUGCCGCGUGCGGGAAGAAGGCCUUCGGGUUGUAAACCGCUUUUGUCAGGGAAGAAAUCCUUUGGGUUAAUACCUCGGGGGGAUGACGGUACCUGAAGAAUAAGUACCGGCUAACUACGUG
rnacentral:rRNA from 1 species